UGAAAGCCCGGUUCCCUUAUGAUUACCAAAGUUAAGCAACGUCGAACCUAGUCAGUAUCCAGAUGGGUGACCGUUUGGGAAUACCAGGUGCUGC